AUUGACAAGUCCUUCACCAUUGUUGGCCCGUUUGAGUUGCAAGAUGAUCUAAUGUUUUGUCCACCGCAUUUCAUCGUUAAUUAUGAUAGAGGUAGAAUGAGUAUAGUUGGAUGAGGGCUUAGAUGCAGACUCGAUGAUAAGAGUAGAAAUAUAAAAAAUUCGCUCAAAUCAACGAAAAAAGGUAAGAAAAUAUGAUUAGCCAAGGUUGGCAGCAAAGAUGCCGACUUGCCAAACUGGAAAAUAAGGAUGAUGGUAUUCCAAUUUGGUAAUACAAUCCAUUUGCGACAAUCGGUUUAUCAAGAUCAAUAGAUUGCUUCGGCAAAAACUCAGUCUUACUAUGGUCGGUGAAAGGAUAUUGGUUGGAGUCAUGAGGUUAGUCAGGAAGAAGAAGGAUAAGCACCAAUCAGAAGGUUGCAGGGCUUAUUUAUAGAAUAGGCAUGCCUCACCGGAAGAUGAAUUAAAAUACCCAUUAAUGUGGAGAAUAAAACUGGAUCCCUAUGAAUGUAGAAGGUCCUUUGAGCAAUGU
rnacentral:lncRNA from 1 species